rnacentral:rRNA from 1 species
UACGUAGGUGACCAGCGUUGUCCGGAUUUACUGGGCGUAAAGAGCGCGCAGGCGGUCGUUCAAGUCGAGUGUGAAAGCCCCCGGCUCAACUGGGGAGGGUCACGCGAUACUGAUCGACUCGAAGGCAGGAGGGGGAAGUGGAAUUCCCGGUGUAGUGGUGAAAUGCGUAGAUAUCGGGAGGAACACCAGUGGCGAAGGCGACUUCCUGGCCUGUUCUUGACGCUGAGGCGCGAAAGCUAGGGGAGCAAACGGG